rnacentral:misc_RNA from 1 species
CGCAGCCGCGGUAAUUCCAGCUCCAAUAGCGUAUAUUAAAGUUGUUGCAGUUAAAAAGCUCGUAGUUGAAUUUCGGGAUCAAUAUGUUGGUCGUGCCUUGGUACGUACUGGCAUUAUCGAUUCCUACCUUCUGAAGAACCUCGAUGUCAUUAAUUUGGUGUCUUGGGGAAUCAGGACUGUUACUUUGAAAAAAUUAGAGUGUUUAAAGCAGGCUCGCGCUUGAAUACAUUAGCAUGGAAUAAUGAAAUAGGACGUUUGAUUCUAUUUUGUUGGUUUCUAGGAUUGACGUAAUGAUUAAUAGGGAUAGUUGGGGGCAUUAGUAUUCAAUUGUCAGAGGUGAAAUUCUUGGAUUUAUUGAAGACUAACUACUGCGAAAGCAUUUGCCAAGGAUGUUUUCAUUAAUCAAGAACGAAAGUUAGGGGAUCGAAGACGAUCAGAUACCGUCGUAGUCUUAACCAUAAACUAUGCCGACUAGGGAUCGGAUGAUGUUAAUUUUUUAAUGACUCAUUCGGCGCCUUAC